rnacentral:ncRNA from 1 species
AUUUAACGGUCAACUCAGAACUGGCACGGACUAGGAGAAUCCGACUGUCUAAUUAAAACAAAGCAUUGCGAUGGCCCCAGCGGGUGUUGACGCAAUGUGAUUUCUGCCCAGUGCUCUGAAUGUCAACGUGAAGAAAUUCAAGCAAGCGCGGGUAAACGGCGGGAGUAACUAUGACUCUCUUUCGGGGGAGUCAUAGAAGUGCCAACCACACCCCCUCCUCGUGGGUCCCGCCGGGCAACAGACUUGUCUGGCUAAGAGUGUGGUGGCUAAUGGGUGGGGUGGGUUGCCA